UACGUAGGGGGCGAGCGUUAUCCGGAUUUACUGGGCGUAAAGCGCGUUAAGGCGGUCGGCAAAGUUGGUUGUGAAAUCUCAGGGCUCAACCCUGAAAUUGCGACCAAUACUGGUCGACUAGAGUGUGAGAGAGGAAGGUGGAAUUCCCGGUGUAGUAGUGAAAUGCGUAGAUAUCGGGAGGAACACCAGUGGCGAAGGCAAGCUCGCUGGGACGGUACGUGACGCUGAGAGCGAAACGGUGGGAAGGCAACAGGGA
rnacentral:rRNA from 1 species